rnacentral:rRNA from 1 species
UACAGAGGGUGCAAGCGUUGUUCGGAAUUACUGGGCGUAAAGCGCGCGCAGGCGGGAUGGCAAGUCGGGUGUGAAAGCCCUCGGCUCAACCGAGGAAGUGCAUUCGAAACUGCCGUUCUUGAGUGUCGGAGAGGGUGGUGGAAUUCCCGGUGUAGAGGUGAAAUUCGUAGAUAUCGGGAGGAACACCAGUGGCGAAGGCGACCAUCUGGCCGAACACUGACGCUGAGGCGCGAAAGCGUGGGGAGCAAAC